GAUGAAGAACGUAGCGAAAUGCGAUAAGUAAUGUGAAUUGCAGAAUUCCGUGAAUCAUCGAAUCUUUGAACGCACAUUGCGCCCCCUGGUAUUCCGGGGGGGCAUGCCUGUCCGAGCGUCAUUGCAACCCUCAAGCGCGGCUUGUGUGUUGGGCUUCGUCCCCCCGUGGACGUGCCCGAAAGGCAGUGGCGGCGUCCCGAAUGGUGCCCGAGCGUAUGGGAACUCUCUUCCGCUCGAACCGGCCCAUUCGGCGCUGGUCGAACCCCAAUUUUUUUUUACCGGUUGACCUCGGAUCAGGUAGGGAUACCCGCUGAACUUAAGCAUAUCAAUAAGCGGAGGA
rnacentral:misc_RNA from 1 species